ACUGAGAAGCAGAAAGGGAUAAGGGAUUCAGCAUCGGGGGCUGGUUCUUCAUGGGUGUGGCUGUGGAUCACAUCACUUCUGUUUUGUCUGGCAGGGCUCAGGCACCUUGGGUUGGCAGGGCUGUGGAACCUUGGACUGACAGGGCUCAGGCACCUUGGGCUGGCAGGGCUCAGGCACCUUGGGUUGGCAGGGCUGUGGAACCUUGGGCUGGCAGGGCUCUGGCACCUUGGGCUGGCAGGGCUCCGGCACUUUGGGUUGGCAUGGCUCAGGCACCUUGGGCUGGCAGGGCUCCUUGGUUUUGGGGACACAGGGUUCCUGGGGUGGAGGCUGGCAAGGCUGCUUCACCUGGUGCUGCUGCAGCUGAGGGGGUAGGGUGCAGG